AACGAACGCUGGCGGCAGGCUUAACACAUGCAAGUCGAGCGCCCCGCCAGGGGAGCGGCAGACGGGUGAUUAACGCGUGGGAACGUACCUUUUGGUUCGGAACAACUCCGGGAAACUGGAGCUAAUACCGGAUAAGCCCUAACGGGGAAAGAUUUAUCGCCGAAAGAUCGGCCCGCGUCUGAUUAGCUAGUUGGUGAGGUAACGGCUCACCAAGGCGACGAUCAGUAGCUGGUCUGAGAGGAUGAUCAGCCACACUGGGACUGAGACACGGCCCAGACUCCUACGGGAGGCAGCAGUGGGGAAUAUUGGACAAUGGGCGCAAGCCUGAUCCAGCCAUGCCGCGUGAGUGAUGAAGGCCUUAGGGUUGUAAAGCUCUUUUGUCCGGGAAGAUAAUGACUGUACCGGAAGAAUAAGCCCCGGCUAACUUCGUG
rnacentral:rRNA from 1 species